UGGGCUGUCGUCUAAUGGCAGGACAACGGAUUCUGGUUCCGUGAAUUGGGGUUCGAGUCCCUGCAGCCCAG
rnacentral:tRNA from 1 species